CUUCCUCCCAUGCUCCUAUGCACGGCUGCCGGCGACGAGUAUCAUCGAUCUUUCGGUCGGGAAAGACGCCCUAUUUUUGGGCCUUUUUCCUUGGUUUUUUCGGCACCGACGAUCGGAAGUGAUCGUCGGCCAUGUCUCCUCCGUGACCAGGGGAGUGGCCCCCGUCGGUCGCCGACCUCCGCCGCGGUGGUCGUGGCCUGAACGGCCCGGCCAAGGAUGGGCCACACCGUCCCCUGUUCCGGCAUGGGAAGAACCAAGAAAAGAAGAAAAA
rnacentral:lncRNA from 1 species